rnacentral:tRNA from 1 species
GAAUGUGUAGCUCAGUUGGCUAGAGCACUGGACACUAAUCCAGGGGUCAACGGUUCGAAUCCGUUUACAUUUA